ensembl:lncRNA
UGUUUACAUUUGAAUUCUAGAUCACUUAGACAUUUGGAAAUAAACGUCCUUGAUUGUUAGCAGCAUUAAAUCAGUCUACACAGCUGACAUGGACAUUUUGAAAUUUUGUUUCUCUUUCUUCUUUCUGCUACACAGUUCAACAAUCGGAGAGGACACAGAUAGUGAAGCCCAGUGCCAAACGGCCCUGACAGACUGGCUGCUGAGGUACGGCGAGAAGACCUACUAUGACAGGCUUUCACGUGCCUUGCAUCACAUCGGCAGAACAGACAUCGCCACUGAAGUGGGGAAGAACAUCAACCAGGACAAAGCCUUGAGCCUGAAGCGCUAUGUUGAAGAUUAUCACAAAUAUGUCAACUCGUUAAACUUUGUUUCAGACACAAAACAGCAAAAGCGCGGACACCAGAGGGUCAGAAAAACAAAGGUUAGCGAUCUGACAUGGCGUGACCUGGAUCUGAUUGUGGAGCAGGUUCGCGUCCCUCCAUACCAGAAGGGGCCUUUGGAUGUGGCUCUGCCAGUAUUGUACGGUCUUCUGUUGGGCUUCGGGGGCACCUUGCUCAUAGGCACAGCUUUACUCCUCAUCAUUGUCCACAUUUCUCAUGGAAGGCCUCAGAACUGUCACUCCAGAGCCACCAGCAGUUCCAGCAGUAAAGUCAUGUGAUUUGGGGAGCUUCUGGGAUGUCAGAUGUAAACAUUUCAAAUAUCAAAAAUGAAAUAAGUGCACAAAAAUAAAAGCUGAAC